UGGGGAAUCUUGCACAAUGGGGGAAACCCUGAUGCAGCGACGCCACGUGAGCGAUGAAGGUUUUCGAAUCGUAAAGCCCUGUCCUAUGGGAAGAUAAUGACGGUACCAUAGAAGAAAGCCCCGGCUAAUUACGUGCCAGCAGCCGCGGUAAUACGUAAGGGGCGAGCGUUGUCCGGAAUUAUUGGGCGUAAAGAGUGCGUAGGCGGCAAAUUAAGUCAGAUGUGAAAACUAAGGGCUCAACCCAUAGAUUGCAUCUGAAACUGAUAUGCUUGAGUCAAGGAGAGGAAAGUGGAAUUCCUAGUGUAGCGGUGGAAUGCGUAGAUAUUAGGAGGAAUACCGGUGGCGAAGGAGACUUUCUGGACUUGAACUGACGCUGAGGCACGAAAGCGUGGGGAGCAAACAGG
rnacentral:rRNA from 1 species